CCAGUCAACCUGGACAACUAACUGCAAGGUGUUCAUUAAACUUAACGGGUCACCUGAAGAAGCAAGAGUACUGUCUGUUAGAUUCAUUGAGGAGCUGGAUAAGUACCAGUGAAUCAUGAACAUGUAACUUAGUAAGGGGUUUAAUUUGUAUCAGUGUGUGUGACUGAUUUGAAUUAUAAUGGCUAUGGACUCCCUUGAAGAGCUUGACUGUUUAAACUUAAUAACAGCUGGAAAUGAGAGUGACAAUGAUGAGAGUGAAGGUUGGAACUUAAAAAUUUUCAAAUUCACAGAUCAUAACCUACAUGGUUUUGAACAAGAUCUUGACCCCGAAAACAACUUUCUUAACAACAUAAACAACAACUGUUGUUAUUACUCUGAUGAUCAAUUCAACAUGAAUAUAAAAUCUGAUUAUGGAUUGUCAAUUGUUCAUUUUAAUAGCAGAAGCUUAUAUGGAAAUUUUCUGUACAUCAAAGAAUACUUAAGUCAUUUAAACAACCCAUUCCAGGUGAUAGCCAUAUCUGAGACCUGGCUUACUUCUGAGAAGGGUGUUGAUCAUGAGUUGAAUGGAUAUGAAUUGAAUUAUGUUAAUAGAGAGAAUAAAAAAGGAGGUGGAGUGGCAUUGUAUGUAGAUAGAAGACUUAAAUAUGAAAUUGUGAAAAAUAUGUCAACUAACAUUGAUGAUGUGAUGGAGAUAAUAACGGUCGAAAUUAAAUUGAGAAAAAAGAAAAAUGUAAUUGUAAGCUGUGUAUACAGAGCUCCUGGUGCAAAUAUCGAAAUGUUCAUGAACAGUAUGGAAAGUCUAUUUACUAAGAAGGAGCAAAAAGCGGUGUUCAUUUGUGGGGAUUUUAAUACAGAUCUUUUAAAUCCCAAUAAGCAUAAACUGACAGAUGAAUUUAUCGAUUUAAUGUUUAGCAUGAGUCUUUUCCCACUCAUAACUAAACCAAGCAGAAUAUCAUCUCACUGUGCAACUCUAAUAGACAACAUAUUCACAAACCGAAUGGACAAUAGUCUAAUGAGUGGGUUGUUACUAAAUGACAUAAGUGAUCAUUUGCCAGUUUUUGUGAUGGGUGUUUGUGAUCAUGNNNNNNN
ensembl:lncRNA